rnacentral:rRNA from 1 species
UACAGAGGUCCCAAGCGUUGUUCGGAUUCAUUGGGCGUAAAGGGUUCGUAGGUGGCUCGCUAAGUCAGACGUGAAAUCCCUCGGCUUAACCGGGGAACUGCGUCUGAUACUGGAUGGCUUGAGUUUGGGAGAGGGACGCGGAAUUCCAGGUGUAGCGGUGAAAUGCGUAGAUAUCUGGAGGAACACCGGUGGCGAAGGCGGCGUCCUGGACUGGUACUGACGCUCAUGAGCGAAAGCGUGGGGAGCGAUCCGG